rnacentral:rRNA from 1 species
UACGUAGGGGGCAAGCGUUGUCCGGAUUUAUUGGGCGUAAAGAGCGUGUAGGCGGCUUUACAGGUCCGUUGUGAAAACUCGAGGCUCAACCUCGAGACGCCGGUGGAAACCGUAAAGCUAGAGUCCGGAAGAGGAGAGUGGAAUUCCUGGUGUAGCGGUGAAAUGCGCAGAUAUCAGGAGGAACACCCGUGGCGAAAGCGGCUCUCUGGGACGGUACUGACGCUGAGACGAGAAAGCGUGGGGAGCAAACAGG